GAUGAACGCUGGCGGCGUGCCUAAUACAUGCCAGUCGAGCGAACGGACGAGAAGCUUGCUUCUCUGAUGUUAGCGGCGGACGGGUGAGUAACACGUGGAUAACCUUCCUAUAAGACUGGGAUAACUUCGGGAAACCGUAGCUAAUACCGGAUAAUAUUUUGAACCGCAUGGUUCAAAAGUGAAAGACGGUCUUGCUGUCACUUAUAGAUGGAUCCGCGCUGCAUUAGCUAGUUGGUAAGGUAACGGCUUACCAAGGCAACGAUGCAUAGCCGACCUGAGAGGGUGAUCGACCACACUGGAAAUGAGACACGGUCCAGACUCCUACGGGAGGCAGCAGUAGGGAAUCUUCCGCAAUGGGCGAAAGCCUGACGGAGCAACGCCGCGUGAGUGAUGAAGGUCUUCGGAUCGUAAAACUCUGUUAUUAGGGAAGAACAUAUGUGUAAGUAACUGUGCACAUCUUGACGGUACCUAAUCAGAAAGCCACGGCUAACUACGUG
rnacentral:rRNA from 1 species